GUACAGAAUGGGUGCGCUUAGGCUUGAAGUGUGGGGAGCAAAUAGGAUUAGAUACCCUAGUAGUCCACACUGUAAACGAUGGAUGUUAAGUGUCGGAGCGAAUACUUCGGUGCUGCAGUUAACACAUUAAACAUCCUGCCUGAGUAGUACAUUCGCAAGAAUGAAACUCAAACGGAAUUGACGGGGACCCGCACAAGUGGUGGAGCAUGUUGCUUAAUUCGACGGUACACGAAAAACCUUACCUAGACUUGACAUCUUGGGCGAAGCUAUAGAAAUAUAGUGGAGGUCAACCCAAUGACAGGUGGUGCAUGGUUGUCGUCAGCUCGUGUCGUGAGAUGUUGAGUGAGGUCCCGCAACGAGCGCAGCCGUGAGCGUUAGUUACUUUGUCUGACGAGACUGCCAACGUAAGUUGGAGGAAGGUGGGGAUGACGUCAAAUCAUCAUGCCCCUUAUGUCUAGGGCUGCAAACGUGCUACAAUGGCCAAUACAAACAGUUGGCAAAUCCG
rnacentral:rRNA from 1 species